rnacentral:rRNA from 1 species
AGGGUUUGAUCAUGGCUCAGAACGAACGUUGGCGGCGUGGAUUAGGCAUGCAAGUCGAACGAGAAAGGUUUCUUCGGAAGCCGAGUACAGUGGCGAACGGGUGAGUAAUGCAUAGACAAUCUGCCCCCGAGGUGGGGAUAACUUCUCGAAAGGGGAGCUAAUACCCAAUAAUGCCCAGUCAUAUAGGUGGCUGGACCAAAGAAGGCCUCUGCAUGCAAGCUUUCACUCGGGGAGGGGUUUAUGUCCUAUUAGCUUGUUGGUGAGGUAACGGCUCACCAAGGCAGCGAUGGGUAGCCGACCUGAGAGGGUGACCGGCCACACUGGGACUGAGACACUGCCCAGACUCCUACGGGAGGCUGCAGUCGAGAAUCUUCCGCAAUGCGCGCAAGCGUGACGGAGCGACGCCGCGUGGGUGAUGAAGGCCUUCGGGUCGUAAAACCCUGUUACCUGCUAUGAAUGGCCGGUGGUGAAUAGCUAUCCGGUUUGACGUAAGUAGGAGAGGAAGCACCGGCUAAAUACGUGCCAGCAGCCGCGGUAAUACGUAUGGUGCGAACGUUGUUCGGAUUCACUGGGCAUAAAGAGCGCGUAGGCGGUUUGGUAAGUCUGUUGUGAAAGCCCUCGGCCUAACCGAGGAACUGCAAUGGAAACUACCGAACUAGAGUGCAGGAGGGGAGAGUGGAAUUCCUGGUGGAGCGGUGAAAUGCGUAGAUAUCAGGAGGAACGCCGGUGGCGAAAGCGACUCUCUGGCCUGCAACU